rnacentral:rRNA from 1 species
AACGAACGCUGGCGGCAGGCUUAACACAUGCAAGUCGAGCGCCCCGCAAGGGGAGCGGCAGACGGGUGAGUAACGCGUGGGAAUCUACCUUUUGCUACGGAAUAACUCAGGGAAACUUGUGCUAAUACCGUAUGUGCCCUUCGGGGAAAGGAUUUAUCGGCAAAGGAUGAGCCCGCGUUGGAUUAGCUAGUUGGUGGGGUAAAGGCCUACCAAGGCGACGAUCCAUAGCUGGUCUGAGAGGAUGAUCAGCCACACUGGGACUGAGACACGGCCCAG